UGGGGAAUAUUGCACAAUGGGGGAAACCCUGAUGCAGCAACGCCGCGUGAGCGAUGAAGGCCUUUGGGUCGUAAAGCUCUGUCCUUGGGGAAGAAAAAAAUGACGGUACCCUUGGAGGAAGCCCCGGCUAACUACGUGCCAGCAGCCGCGGUAAUACGUAGGGGGCGAGCGUUAUCCGGAAUCAUUGGGCGUAAAGGGUGCGUAGGUGGCGACUUAAGCGCAGGGUCUAAGGCUACAGCUUAACUGUAGUUCGCCUUGCGAACUGGGUUGCUUGAGUGCAGGAGAGGAAAGCGGAAUUCCUAGUGUAGCGGUGAAAUGCGUAGAUAUUAGGAGGAACACCAGUGGCGAAGGCGGCUUUCUGGACUGUAACUGACACUGAGGCACGAAAGCGUGGGGAGCAAACAGG
rnacentral:rRNA from 1 species